UACAGAGGUCUCAAGCGUUGUUCGGAUUCAUUGGGCGUAAAGGGUGCGUAGGCGGCGCGGUAAGUCGGGUGUGAAAUCUCGGAGCUUAACUCCGAAACUGCAUUCGAUACUGCCGUGCUUGAGGACUGGAGAGGAGACUGGAAUUUACGGUGUAGCGGUGAAAUGCGUAGAUAUCGUAAGGAAGACCAGUGGCGAAGGCG
rnacentral:rRNA from 1 species